GUAGGCACGGUGGACAUAACUUUCUCCUUUGCUCAUCCUGUUCUUGUCUCCUGCCGACGUUUCCAAAUCUCACGUUGCGAACGAUAUUGUGCCGAUUCGUCGCACAUUGCACGCCAGAUCACAUCGGAUCCCACUGGCUCCGCCUAUUUCAGUCGAGUGGGCAAUUGCCGUGAAGCUCCCAGACAGCAUCUUGUGAAUGGAAAACUUUUGCGAUCCAAAGCCGGAAGGUGCCCUUACCUGCCCCUUUUCUGUCGCUGUGUUAAUAAGCAAUUCAGAAUAGAGGACGGUGAGAGCGAGCAGAGAAGCAAAGGCCGUCGUCGUCACUCGGUUGACAUCGGAGGUGGAGCUACAGCUUGACAUAAGGAGGUCGGACGGAGAUGAGAGACGGCAGAGAUCCCUUCAGACCGCCAGCAACCGGUGGUGGCGAAAACAAGAAGGCGGUGAUGGCCGGGAGAGGCGUCAUUAUAAGGGCAGCCUUCUUCCUCUUCCUCUUUUUCUCCGCAAGACCUUGCUUCUGUUUAUCAGCAGGGCCUGCUGCUGGCCCUUCAUCAUUCUCCGCAGGUGGAGGAGCAGUUGAUCAGAUCGGCCAAUUAAGGACACAUCAUACUGCAAUUAAGAGGCAAGUUAUUAGUGGAGGUGAACCUGGAGUUUCGAGAAGAAGUAGUUCCGCCAGUGGUAGAGGCACAUCGGCCAAGACAAACCCCACAAGAGUUCCUCAGUCAGCAACCACUGCCAUGGUUCGGACCUUCUGUUGGUUGCAUGGGCAGCAUUCAGUUGUCUCUUGAUGUGGAAGUGAUUAGUAUAAUGGGGAUGAAUACAAUCUGUUGGGGAGGCCAAAGUAGUUGCGCAGGUCCAGGUUUCCGUCUUCAUAGUUGUCUAUGUUGUAAAAAAAGAAACAUAUCAUAGAAAGUUAUCACACAUAUAUACAUGCCCUUAUGCAUCAUAUCAUGUAUGCCCUUAUGCCACUCAAGCCAAUAACUGUUGGCCUAUACUAGCAAUUGUUCCAAACUCCUUGGGCUUGAGGCAACUAUAGUGAGGGGCUUAUAAAAAAGGAGUUGUUAUGUGAUUGGUUGUCUUAUCUUAUAGCCUUUAAGUUUUUAGGUUAUAACUGAAACUGCUAAGGAAUGGAUUGUAAUUUGCCGCCACAUGUUUGCUUUUCCUCCUUGAGCUUG